rnacentral:rRNA from 1 species
GAUGAACGCUGGCGGCGUGCCUAAUACAUGCAAGUCGAGCGAACAGAUAAGGAGCUUGCUCCUUUGACGUUAGCGGCGGACGGGUGAGUAACACGAGGGUAACCUACCUAUAAGAGUGGGAUAAUUACGGGAAACCGGAGCUAAUACCGGAUAACAUUUGGAACCGCAUGGUGCUAAGGUGAAAGAUGGUUUUGCUAUAACUAAUAGAUGGACCCGCGCCGUAUUAGCUAGUUGGUAAGGUAACGGGUUACCAAGGGAACGAUACGUAGCCGACCGGAGAGGGUGAUCGGCCACAUUGGAACUGGGACGCGCUCCAGGCUCCUACGGGAGGCAGCAGUAGGGAAUCUUCCGCAAUGGUCGAAAGCCUGACGGAGCAACCCCGCGUGUGUGAUAAAGGCUUUCGGCUCGUAAUACUCUGUUAUUGGGGAAGAACAGAUGUGUAAUUAACUGUGCACGUCUUGACGGUACCUAAUCAGAAAGCCACGGCUAACUACGUG